rnacentral:rRNA from 1 species
UCGCCGCGUGUUAUAUGUGUCACGUGGGACCGACGGUAUCAAGCCGGAGGAAGGUGGGGAUGACGUCAAGUCAGCAUGGCCUUUAUGUCUGGGGCUACACACACGAUACAAUGGUCAGUACAAUGGGUAGCUAAGCCGCAAGGUAGAGCCAAUCCCCAAAGCUGGCCUCAGUUCAGAUCACAGGCUGCAACUCGCCUGUGUGAAGUCGGAGUUGCUAGUAAACGCGCGUCAGUAAUAGUGCGUUGAAUACGUUCUCGGGGCUU